rnacentral:rRNA from 1 species
UACGGAGGGGGCUAGCGUUGUUCGGAAUUACUGGGCGUAAAGCGCACGUAGGCGGCUUUGUAAGUUAGAGGUGAAAGCCCGGGGCUCAACUCCGGAAUUGCCUUUAAGACUGCAUCGCUAGAAUUGUGGAGAGGUAAGUGGAAUUCCUAGUGUAGCGGUGAAAUGCGUAGAGAUUAGGAAGAACACCAGUGGCGAAGGCGACUUACUGGACUGUAACUGACGCUGAGGCAUGAAAGCGUGGGGAGCAAACAGG